rnacentral:tRNA from 1 species
AAGCUGUUUACCCUGGGGGGUUUUUGCCUUGAAAGCAAAGCAGUAGUGUUCAAAUCACUAAAUAGC